UACAUUUUACAACUAGUGUGAAAAGACAUUCUAUUUCACACUAGUUGUAAACGACGUUUUUUAAUAUAGUUGCGAAAAAAUAAUAAAUUAAUAUAUUAUUGCGAUAAAAUAUGCUUGCUUCGAAGUUAUUUUUGAACGAACCCAUACUUUACAAAUGACACUGACAGUGACAACAUACUAUUGGAAUCAGCGCCAUCGGCCUCGAGUUGAGAAACUAAAUUGAAUGCAGAUAAUUAAUUAUAAUACUGAAACGACAUUAAUUAGAACCUUUAACAUUAUCAAAACAGAAGUACAAGACAUUACAGUAUCAACAAACAGAAACAGAUCAUGCAACAAGAGUUUUAGUGCCAAAUUUGUGAUCUGCGACAUGUGACCAAGGACACGUUUACAACUAAAAUAUCAUGAAUUGUUUGAAUAUUUGAAGACUUUCAAGGAUAAUUAGAGGUCCCUAACAAAUUGGCGGAAGGAUAAUAUUCACUCAAAGCGGCUCCUAGGAAGUCAACCAGUCAAUUACUAUGUACAUACAACUGCUGCUCAAGUGCCACGUUGAUGACCAUGUUUAGAAGAAAUGAUGAUUAUGUUUAACAUUAUGAAAAGAGAACUAUAUCAAAUGAGGUCUAAGAAGAAUUACUUGCUUUUGUGAUUAAAUGAGAAUUAAAAAAAUAUAUAUUUGUAUUAAAACAAGGUUGAUAUCAGAAAUAUUUUAUUUUCAGUAAUAAUUAUAGUUAAUGGUACAAUUAGUGCAGUUCAUAGUUAUGUUGUGAGUUCUUCCAUGUAAAUUAAGUGUCUGACUAGUCAGGCAUGGUGUAUUUUCAGGUUCCUGCUGUUGUGAUAAUUCCUGUGGGUCAAAGUUAGAGGGGCUAUGUGUAAUCCAAGUGUUGUUGGCACGUGACGGUCCUGGUUGGUUAACAGGGCUGGGUGUAACCAAAGUGUUGUUAGCAUGUGACGGUCCUGGUUGAGGUUCAGUAUUAACAGGUACAUUAAGACCAGAUUGGAAUGUGGAUGAAGAAAAUUCUGUGGGCUCUUGCGGUUUGCAAUUUGUUUUCCAAUCUUUAAUUUGUUAUCAACGGAGUUUUCUAUGUAUCCUUCUGCUACAUUACUUGACCGCCAACCUCCAUGCCUCUUCAAAGUUGUUAUGUCAGCUCCUGAGUCGGCAAGUAAUGUAGCAGAGGUUCUCCUAAAUGCAUGUCCAGUGUAAAGAUUUGCAUCAGGCAAAUUUAAGUACUGAGCGAUAUCUCUCGGCAUAUUCCCAAACUUGUUUAAGCCUAUUACCUGGGCAGUGCACCUUCCUCUUUGAAAAUUCUGAAAGAAACGGUCACUUUUGCCCUUAGAAGACCGCAGACUCUGAUAUUUCUUGACUAUUUCUGCAAAUGGGCCGUCAAUAGUGAAGGACCUGGGAAUUUUAUUUUUUGUAUUUGGUAUUUUGACAAGAAGUAUGUCCCCAUGUGUUUCUAUAUCUUUUACUGAUACAUUUGUGAGCUCUUCGCGUCUGCAUGCGCCACAGACUCCAAAUAUAAGAGCAACCUAUGAACAAAGUUACAUAUUUAUUAUAUAUUGUAAGACAAUUGUUUAUUUCAUUCUAUUUUUUUUAACUUCCUACUUUAUUUUUAGAGUUAAUUUACUUAAAUUGUGUACAUAUUUUAUUAGAUUUAUAUUUAAGUUUAUACCUUUGUAGCUAGAUGUUGCUGACCUGGAGCUUCAUUAAUAAACGUCUCAAUUUGUUCAGCUGUUAGUACCUUCGAUUUUUUACUCUGAAAUCCUGCACUUUGCCUUUUUAAGAAAGCAGUCAAUCUGGUGUAAGUUUUUAUAUCUAUGUCAUGUUUUAACUUUAUAACAGCUUUCAACAUAGAAUAUUUUGACCAUAAUGUUGAUGGCCGAUAGGUUUCAGACAGCUCUUGAAAAUAGGCCAUCAAAACAGUCUCUGAAAAAGACUUUGCGUUAUGUAAGGUUUUCCACUCGAUAAAUUUUACAUAGACGGCAUUAUAUUGGUUUUUAGAUUUUUCUGGAAUAACACAGUCAUUGGCAAUUGCUGCUCUAGCACGAAUGUUUGGUGGUGUCAUAUCAAUGUCUGAAUCACUCAUUUUCAAUAUUUUUUUAUAACUUCUCGUACCAAAUUAUAUAUUUAUAUGCGUUAAUGUGUUUAAAUAAUGUUAGAAGUUAUUUCAAAAGGGCGGGCUGAUUUGCUUUUAAACUUUUUUUUCUAGGCAUACCUAUGCUUGUAUCAUUCAGCCAAAUCAAAGAACGAUUUUUAGGAAAGUAAAUAUUUCAUACAUAGAUACCUAAGACAGAGUAGGCUAUAAAAUGCAAAUUCUUAAUAUUUUUUCGUCAUUUAUAUAUUAAUGAAUACUUUAAAUAAAUACUCCUAGUAUUCGUAA